rnacentral:lncRNA from 1 species
UCUAAUAUAGUGAUGGAAGGCUACUGGGUAUAGUCAAAUACUUAUGAAGUCUGUGUGUAGAUCAAGAUGGGAUUGAUCCCUUUGGAUUAUUGGAGCUGAUGUAUCACUGUAUUUCAAUUUAGCAAAAGUCUUGGUCAGAGUAAUCCAUGAGAUAGAUUUGAAAGGUUGGAAUAUAAUGUAGAUAAAGCGAUCUUGGUUGACAGUUAACCUG